CUCCCUCCCGAGCCCCCUCCACCCUCCUCCUCUUUGGCCGUGAGAGGAGGAGAGAAAGAGACCAAAAGCCUCUUAGCAACACAGACCCUUUGCUGCUGCUGCUGCUGCUGCUGCUGCUGCUGUUACUGCUGCUGCUGUUGCUGCUGCUGCUGCUGCUGCUGCUACUGCUGCUGCUGUUUGGCCCUGGCUGGAGACAUCUCACUACACCCAGGAGCAGCCACUUCCCCAGCUCUCCUCCUUCUCCUUCGCCUCCUCCUCCUCCACUCCCCCCCUUUAUUACCCUUUGUGUCAUCCUCCACAGCUCCAGGGAAGGCACUCAAAAGUGGGGGGCAGGAAAGAUGCUUUUUGAGGAUGUCAGCUUCUACAUAUGGGAACUAAAUAUUGAAGGUUGCAUGGUUUACAGAAAAGGUCUUUAAAAGAUAGACAUUCAAGGACCAAGGAAACAAAUACCAGAAGCCAAGAGCACAGAAUAUUUUCCUUCAUCACUUUAUAGAACCCUAUUACAUCUCUAAAUCCAUCAAACACAAAGGAAUGACUGCCUUGGCAGAUGGCCACAGAGGAUGUC